rnacentral:lncRNA from 1 species
GCGAGCUGCACGUUGGAUUACCAACACCCAAACGGCGACACCUACCAAAGAGGCACGCCCACAACUGAACACAAACCCAAAUCCAGACCGAAGCCGUUGCGCGCCCCACCGUGCCCCCGUACACCGCAAGUAUCCAUUCUGGGGCCAAGGGCUCCGCAUGUGAGCAAAGGGCUGCCCGCCGCGGGGCUCCCCACACGGCUGCGGGCUCCCAGGACAGUGAUCCUCACCCGGGCCGCAGGUGACCCCGUUCGGGCACGGAGCAGGCACAUCCCGCGGCCGAAACCCGGCCCUCGCCGCCCGGAUCCCUCCUCAGCGGCGGGCCGAGCAGCGGGUGGGUCCGCCCUCCGCGGCAGCGCCCGAGAAGACGCCCGGCUCCGCCACUCUCUCCACCCCGCACCCUUAGGGACUCCGCCUGCGCUUCGCUCACCGCGGAGACCGGGGUCCUCUUCUUUGGCGCGGAUCUUGCGGAUUUUCAGCGGCCGCCCGCUGAGCGUGGACAGCACCAGCCGCUGCCGUAAGAAGUUGCACCCCGCGAAGCUGAGGCACUGCGCGCCGCCGCCCGCCAUGCCACCGCACUGCCCCGCGGCCGGCGCGCCCACGUGGUUGAGAACAGGAAGCGCUGGGACAGCGGGGGGGCAAAGGGCAGGGGGCGGGGCGGGGGCGGGGCGGGGCGCCGGGACGGCGGCGGACGGGCCGGUGGGAGGGAGGAAGGGGUGGUGCCUGGGGAACCGCGCGUCCGCUCCGUCCCGCCCCGCCGCUGGGACGAAUGUCCGCGCGGUGCUGCCGUGCGGGAUGAGGUGUGGUCCCGCCUGCGGGGCCGUGCCCGGAGACGCGGCUCGAGAGCCGAAUGGAUGAGGUUGGAAAGGACCUCUGGGUCUAUCUGGUCCAACCCCGGCUCAAGCAGGGACUCUAGAGCAGGAUGCCAUGCCCAGAUGGCUUCUGAAGAUUUUCCUGGAGAAGAACUCAGUCACCUGCACAGUAACAAAGUGCUUCUUGAUGUUCCAAUGGAGUCUUCUGUGUUCCAGUUUUUGCCCAUUGGCUAUUGUACUGAGGCUGGGCACCACUGAAAAGAGCCUGGCUACAUCCUUUUUGCACCCUCCCUUCAGGUGUUUAUGUACAUUAAUGAGAUCCCCACUGAGCCUUCUCCAAGCUGAACAGUCAAAAUUCACUCAACCUCUCCUUGGAGGAGGGAUGUGUCAGUCUUCCUGUGUUGAAAAUGCAGUCAUUCUGACAGCUUUAAAAUCUCUAGUUAAAGCAAAUUGUUCAAAGCUGGAGUGCUAGUUAAAAACAAUAAACAGAAACCUGAGAUGCA